UGAAGUCUCAGUUGUGACCGGAGGCCAAACUGGAGUUAUUCUGUAGCUGGGCUGUAGGGAUCACCUUCAGCACCCUGGCGGGACUGGUCUUUGACUGGACGAUUGAGAAGGACACGCAGGCGGGCGGGUUCUCAGACUCCCACAGUGCCCUGCGGAAUAAAUCUUUGAAGUUAUGCUGGGGUAGAGGAUGGCCAGCUGCCCAGCAGCAUAGACUUGGAAAGGGGGCCUGUUUACCUGCUCUUCAAAUAUCUGAUCUGGCACCAUAUGACUUCUGGCUCUUCUUCAAAGUCAAAAUACAAUGACAAAUGUUUGGAAUGGAAUCAGAACAUCAAGGCAGCCCCGACUGUGCAACUAAAGACACUCACCAAAGAGGACCCCAGAACUGCUUCAGAAACUGGUUUGGAGGAUGCCAAAAAUCUUGUCAUCACCUUCCCAGAAACAAAAGUGCUGAGGGCCAAGGCCAUUGCUAGAGCCUGGAGUGUGUUGGGAACUGGCUGGCCCCAGGGCUGCCUGAAGAUCAUUUGGCUGCAUCUCUCUGCC
rnacentral:lncRNA from 1 species